rnacentral:rRNA from 1 species
AUUGAACGCUGGCGGCAAGCCUAACACAUGCAAGUCGAACGAGUGGCGGACGGGUGAGAAAUGUCUGGGAAACUGCCUGAUGGAGGGGGAUAACUACUGGAAACGGUAGCUAAUACCGCAUACCAUCGGAUGUGCCCAGAUGGGAUUAGCUAGUAGGUGGGGUAAAGGCUCACCUAGGCGACGAUCCCUAUCUGGCCUGAGAGGAUGACAAGCAACACUGGAACUUGGACACGGUCCAGACUCCUACGGGAGGCACCAGUGGGGAAUAUUGCACAAUGGGCGCAAGCCUGAUGCAGCCAUGCCGCGUGUAUGAAGAAGUCUUUCGGGUUGUAAAGUACUUUCAGCGGGGAGGCGUUACCCGCAGAAGAAGCACCGGCUAACUCCGUGCCAGCAGCCGCGGUAAUAC